AAAGCACAUGAAAAAAACGCCUUAGGUACAAUGAACUACAGUACUGCAAUUAUUUCUCCUGCAGCUUUAACAGAUCAGUCACUAGAGUCUAUUCAUUUGCCAGACAAGUGGACAUUCAACUUUCCUUGAAUGCAUUCUGCCAGAUGUACUUCUGCAUCUCUCCACUAUGCAAACAUGUGGUUAGAUACACCAGCAGAACAUCUUGCCUGCUACUAGAAACUCUUUGUGAUAAAUAAAUAGCUCAUUUGUUCUUUCCAAAUAAAAAGCAUGACAGAGAAAACAAAAAUAAGCUAAGAAUGGCUAAGAGAAGCAUGUCUAAGCAAAGGAAAAGGAAUAGCAUCGUUUUUAAGUUGGUAGUGAAAUCACAGAGUAAAGAGCCAGAAUAACGCUAGUGGCUCAGUGUAGCUGAAAAGCGGGGCAAGUUCUGUCGUCACAGAUCAGAGUACAAUGCUGGAACCUGCAGCACUGAAAAUGAAACGGUAUGGGGAAGCACGGAGCACGCUGAAGGACGGAGGCGGGGGGGUCUGAAAGGGGACAAGCACAGCGAGGUCGCGAAGGAGGGGCACACAACGAGGCCGAUAAGAGACCAGGGACCACAAGCCCUAAAGCCUGCCGCAGGAUGCGUGAAUGGCGAUACGGAGGAAGGCGGGGGAGGAAACUGGAGGAAGGAGAAAGGGUUUACCCCAGAGCGUGCUACACUCCAAGUCUCGUGCUGAUGGUGGUUGUGUGCUGCUCAGGAAAAGAGAGAAGGCUCGGCUGCUCUAAAGUGCUCUUGAGAGAAGCCAAAACAGCACAAGUUUCGAGGAAGAGAGUGAGGAGAAGGUGACAAGGGAAGGAAGGCUUCUGCCAGCCUUGCACCCGUGCCAUGGCUGUCCAACCUCUUGGUUUGCCUGGGCCUCGCUGAGUGAAGAGGGAUUGUCUUGGGCCACAUAUAAAAUAUAUUUUACAUAUAUAUUAUUUAUAUAAAUAAAUAUAGUUCACGUAUAGAAGUAACAAAACUUUUUUUUUUCCCUAAUUAAAACAUAAAAAAGAGGGCAACAAAAACAGGUUUGGAAUAUUUGAUCUUGUUUCUGCGAAACUGAUGUACCAGUCUGGUUCAAUGGCAGUAGUUGCCAUUCUCAGUGAGCUCUCAAGGUAUUCGUCAUGAAAUUUUACUCUCCCUGUGCUUCAUCCUUGAUGAAGUUGUUCACAAAUAUACUUUCUACCAAAAAGUGAUUAUAUGAAUAAAGAGUGAUGGUGAAGCAAGGGAUAU